CCUUGAUGGGUCUUGUCCUUUAAGAAUUGGUUCACGUCGUGCGGAAGCUACUAGCACAAGGCAACUGCGGAUAAGUUUGCAAAGCAGGCGGGCGUACGUUUCUAUACAUACAAUGAGAGUUUGCACUUGAGCAAGACCAUUCGGAAUUGUCAGCGGCGUUUGUUUCUCUCCGGACAGCGUUCUUAUUUACUUCUGUAAAAUAAACAGUGUCUUAGGCGAUUAUUUAAGGGUUUAGAAUAACGCAUCAGAACGUAUGAACAGUUGACAAAUUCUAAAGACUUCGGAAAAUUGAUGUUCAAACGUCGUAUCGUCUGAUUUUUCUCUCGCAAACAUGAGUGCUUAAAGAAUUAGCGAAUGACAAAGAACUUUUUCCUCAGAAUAUUCGAAGACGUCAUCCAUAGGCUAAUUGUCAUAUCGUUUCAAAUUCAACAAAGGGUGCCAGUGGACUUGGGAGUGAGACCCCCGUCAAACUUGGAAACGCAAGACUUCUACAGAAGACGGCUCUCGGCUUCCAGAAAGAGUUUUCGUUCGAAGGGAAGGACGACCCAGCCAAGAACACCAAGGAUAUAGAUGUCAAACUCUUGGCAAACCUCCCCAAAGUUUCAGAAUUGAGGAAGCGUUUUGAAAGCAUCAGCCCAAGCACUAGCUGGGAAAUGAACAGGUACGACUACGACGU
rnacentral:lncRNA from 1 species